rnacentral:rRNA from 1 species
AGUGGACGCUGGCGGUAGGCCUAACACAUGCAAGUCGAACGGCAGCACAGUAAGAGCUUGCUCUUACGGGUGGCGAGUGGCGGACGGGUGAGGAAUACAUCGGAAUCUACUUUUUCGUGGGGGAUAACGUAGGGAAACUUACGCUAAUACCGCAUACGACCUACGGGUGAAAGCAGGGGUUCUUCGGACCUUGCGCGAUUGAAUGAGCUGAUGUCGGAUUAGCUAGUUGGCGGGGUAAAGGCCCACCAAGGCGACGAUCCGUAGCUGGUCUGAGAGGAUGAUCAGCCACACUGGAACUGAGACACGGUCCAGACUCCUACGGGAGGCAGCAGUGGGGAAUAUUGGACAAUGGGCGCAAGCCUGAUCCAGCCAUACCGCGUGGGUGAAGAAGGCCUUCGGGUUGUAAAGCCCUUUUGUUGGGAAAGAAAAGCAGCAGGUUAAUACCCCGCUGUUCUGACGGUACCCAAAGAAUAAGCACCGGCUAACUUCGUG